UACGUAGGGAGCGAGCGUUGUCCGGAUUCAUUGGGCGUAAAGAGCUCGUAGGCGGCUUGGUAAGUCGGAUGUGAAACCUCCAGGCUUAACCUGGAGUCGCCAUCCGAUACUGCCAUGGCUAGAGUCCGGUAGGGGCCCACGGAAUUCCUGGUGUAGCGGUGAAAUGCGCAGAUAUCAGGAAGAACACCCGUGGCUAAGGCGGCUCUCUAGUACGGUACUGACGCUGAGACGCGAAAGCGUGGGGAGCGAACAGG
rnacentral:rRNA from 1 species